ensembl:snoRNA
UUUGAUUAUAAAUCACCCCUGGCUUAAUUAUGGCCUGGGUUGAGAUUUGGUGCCCAGAGCUACCAGGGGCCUCAGUUCACCUCUGGCUGCCACAGUGUAGGAGGGCGAAACCCAGGCCCAACAACU